CUGGAGUCCAAGAAUGAGCAUCACCCAAGCCAGCAUGCUAGGUGUGGAGUCCAAUUGCUACAUUGUACUCAAUAAAUACAGAUACAACGAAAGACACAGGAUGACAAGGAAUACCCAGCAUGGCUAAACCAACCUCAUUUCGUUCUUUGACAGGGUGGGUGGGGGAUGGGGGAGUAGUAGACUUGAUAUAUCUUAAUUUUUAAUAAGGCAAAUGAAGGAAAGGUGAUUUAGAUGAAAUUACAGUCAGGUGGGUGCAAAACUGGUUGAAAGACCCACUCAGAAAGUAGUUUCGGUCAGCCACUGCCUCCCAAGAGUCAGGCAUAGUGGAUGAGGCUGAGGUUGAAGCUGGAUAUCGGGUAGGGACUGGGCCCAAGGGAGGGCUGUGAAACCAAGAUAUUUGGAUAUGUGGGGAUCAGAACAAGGAUCACAGUCCGUAGACAUGCCAAAACCAUACUGCAGCUGGAGUGCAGGUGCAGGCCAGAAGUGGGGAGCUGCUUAGGCUAGCUAAUGGGCAAUGCUGACAAGAAAGCAUGUCCUACGCCUUGCCCCGCUCUUGAAGGUAGGCCCUCCCUGCAACCCAAAUUUAGGGACUUAGCUCUGCUUCGUGAAGCAUGAAUAGGAACCAGCCAUCUGCAGUCACACAGCUCAGGCAUCCUCUCCUGAGGAAGGGGUAGAGCUGUCUACCUGUACAAAUAUUAGCCAGUAGUUAGAGCACUCAGCUGCAAUGUGGGAGACCUGGGUUCACUUCCCUCUGCUGGGGGGACACUGAUUUGAACAGGGGUGUCAAACCUCUCAGGAGAGUGCUCUAACCACUGAGUUACAGGCUAUGCAGAUGUGGGGGCUCCCUCUACCUUUCCUGUUGAAGUUGUUGCAGGUUGGAGAAAUAAUGCAAGUGACUGGAGCAGGAGGACUGGACCUUGGGACUCCUACGUUCCCCAGGGGUGCCCAAACUCCUGGGCUACAGCAUCAUUUUCGCUUGCUAGCUCUAUUUAAGUAUUUAUCCACCAUGGCGCAGUGUCCCACAUCCUAGCUGAGUGUUGUAACUUCUGGGCUAUAAGUUAAGUUAUAAGGUAGGCGGCACCACCACCUUGCUGCCAGAUUCUAAAUGGGCCUUGAUCGAGUAGGCAUGCUCAGAGGCUACCUACUGGAUCAGGUCCCCCACCUUUCUCCCCACAGUUCAUGAAUCACUCUGGAGCUUACAUGGGAGACAGGUCCAACCUCCCCCUUUGCAUACAGGGAGGCAGCCCAGUGACAAAAACAUGCACUGAGGGAACUUUUACCCUGAGAACUUGGGUGCUCAGUGAAUUAAGACACCUACAGGGUUUGGUGGGAGUUUUAUGGAGCCCAAACUGGCAUGUAGAUGCCUAAAUCUGGGGUUUAGGCAGCUAAGUACUUUUGUGGUUUGCACCCAAAUCAUCUACCUUUUGUCUCUGACUUUGGUCAAUCAACUUUUCAGGAGAGAACGUGAGAAAGAGGAUGCCAUUUACCUCCGGAGGGAAAGGAAACAGAGCUCAGAAGGGUUUGGAUGGCAGUCUGAAGGAGCUGGGUUUGAAUCUGCCCUAAUCAGCAAGGACGUGUGAGUGGAGAAGCCAGAAACUGGCUAGACUCAUUCAAUUCACCUCAUUCAUCUCCUUACAAUCUGAAGCACACACAUUUGUUAGUAUCAGAGACAGGGAAACUCUACCUUCCUCCUGCAUCCAGAGGACAGUUGCAGCGAACAGCAAGAUGCAAGAGACACACACCAGACCCUGAAUGAAUAUGAUCAUCCAUCUCCAGGUCUCCCCCUCUAGAAAAACAAUAGACACACCAACAAUCAGCAUCUUCUUGUUACACAUUCCAUGCACUUGGGAUGUUCUUCUGCCUUAACGCUGCUGAGAUCAUUAUGUCAGCCCUUGUGAAGACUGUGAGCUGUAACACGAUGCAGUCAGUUCUUUG